AAAUUGAUACAGAUAAGUUAAGUUACAAAAUCCUCAACACUUUCAUCUUAACGUUCUAAAUAUGAGAAAUAUGUGCAAAAUGUCGAGGAAAGUUUGAAGAAAGUAAA